GUUUUGCUAUUCGAAAGUUUUUUCGCAAGUCCUGGGCCAAUAUUUACAAAAUAAUCAUUGAAUCUAUUUGCUAUUGAUUUUGGAUCGGUAAUUUUUUCUCCAGGACUAUUUCCAAUAAAUUCCUUUGGUAACGUACUACUUGUUUUAUUUCGAUUCAUAAUUUCAUUUAAUGUUUUCCACAGUACCUUUGUACCAUGUUUAUAUUUUAUUAAUUAACUGUUCUUCGUAAUGUUUCUUUUUUGCCGCUCUUAUUAUAUGAUUUAGUUUAUUUUUAUAUUGUUUGUAUAUUUUUUCCUUUUUUUCUGUAGGACAUUGAAGGUAUUUUUCAUAUAACUUGUUCUUUUGCUUAACUGAUCUUGCGAUACAUUUUGUCAUCCAUGGGCUUCGGGUUUUGUCAAUAUUUCUUUUUACUACUUUUCUUCGUAAAGGAAAGUUUUUUUCAUAGGCUAUUGAAAGUAAGUUAAGAAAUUC